UGCUGUGAUGAUGAGAUAAAAUAAUCUCGUUAAUCUGAGAUUUCUUUUGCCAUGAGGAUAAUUUUUCUCAUCCAUUCAUUUUUUUGUCUGAGC